GAUGAACGCUGGCGGCGUGCCUAAUACAUGCAAGUCGAGCGAACAGACGAGGAGCUUGCUCCUCUGACGUUAGCGGCGGACGGGUGAGUAACACGUGGAUAACCUACCUAUAAGACUGGGAUAACUUCGGGAAACCGGAGCUAAUACCGGAUAAUAUAUUGAACCGCAUGGUUCAAUAGUGAAAGACGGUUUUGCUGUCACUUAUAGAUGGAUCCGCGCCGCAUUAGCUAGUUGGUAAGGUAACGGCUUACCAAGGCAACGAUGCGUAGCCGACCUGAGAGGGGGAUGGGCCCACUGGGAACUGAGACCGGGCCCAGGUCCCAAGGGGAGGCAGCAGGAGGGAAUCUUCCGAAAGGGGCGAAAGCCUGACGGAGCAACGCCGCGGGAGGGAUGAAGGUCUUGGGAUCGUAAAACCCUUUUAUGAGGGAAGAAAAAAUGUGUAAGUAACUAUGCACGUUUUGACGGUACCAAAUCAAAAAGCCCCGGCUAACUACGU
rnacentral:rRNA from 1 species